CAAGUCGAACGGGCCCGGCCGCAAGGCCGGGUCAGUGGCGCAAGGGUGAGUAAGGCGACGGUAACCAACCCCAUGGUCGGGCAUAGCCGCGGGAAACUGCGGGUAAUCCCCAGCGACGUCCCGGGCGGGCAUCCGCCCAGGACCAAAGCUCCGGCGCCGUGGGACGGGCUGUCGUGGUAUUAGGUCGUUGGCGGGGUAAUGGCCCACCAAGCCUGCGAUGCCUACCGGGCGUGCGAGCGUGGCCCGGCACACUGGGACUGAGACACUGCCCAGACUCCUACGGGAGGCUGCAGUCGAGAAUCUUCGGCAAUGGGCGCAAGCCUGACCGAGCGACGCCGCGUGGAGGAUGAAGGCCUUCGGGUUGUAAACUCCUGUCGAGGGGGAGGAAGGCCGGGCGACCGGCUUGACCGAUCCCUGGAGGAAGCACGGGCUAAGUUCGUGCCAGCAGCCGCGGUAAGACGAACCGUGCGAACGUUAUUCGGAAUCACUGGGCUUAAAGCGCGUGUAGGCGGAUGGGGACGUCGGUCGCUGAAAGCCCCCGGCUCAACCGGGGAACGGGCGCCGAAACGCCCCGUCUGGAGGGACGUAGGGGGACCUGGAACUUCCGGUGGAGCGGUGAAAUGCGUUGAGAUCGGAAGGAACGCCCGUGGCGAAAGCGAGGUCCUGGACGUCUUCUGACGCUGAGACGCGAAAGCUAGGGGAGCGAACGGGAUUAGAUACCCCGGUAGUCCUAGCUGUAAACGAUGGGCACUGGGUAGGGGGCUCGCCGAUGGGCUCCCUGCCGCAGGGAAACCGUGAAGUGCCCCGCCUGGGGAGUAUGGUCGCAAGGCUGAAACUCAAAGGAAUUGACGGGGGCUCAC
rnacentral:rRNA from 1 species